rnacentral:rRNA from 1 species
GAUGAACGCUGGCGGCGUGCCUAGUACAUGCAAGUCGAGCGAACAGACGAGGAGCUUGCUCCUCUGACGUUAGCGGCGGACGGGUGAGUAACACGUGGAUAACCUACCUAUAAGACUGGGAUAACUUCGGGAAACCGGAGCUAAUACCGGAUAAUAUAUUGAACCGCAUGGUUCAAUAGUGAAAGACGGUUUUGCUGUCACUUAUAGAUGGAUCCGCGCCGCAUUAGCUAGUUGGUAAGGUAACGGCUUACCAAGGCAACGAUGCGUAGCCGACCUGAGAGGGUGAUCGGCCACACUGGAACUGAGACACGGUCCAGACUCCUACGGGAGGCAGCAGUAGGGAAUCUUCCGCAAUGGGCGAAAGCCUGACGGAGCAACGCCGCGUGAGUGAUGAAGGUCUUCGGAUCGUAAAACUCUGUUAUUAGGGAAGAACAAAUGUGUAUGUAACUAUGCACGUCUUGACGGUACCUAAUCAGAAAGCCACGGCUAACUACGUG